rnacentral:rRNA from 1 species
GAUGAACGCUGGCGGCGUGCCUAACACAUGCAAGUCGAGCGAUUCUCUUCGGAGAAGAGCGGCGGACGGGUGAGUAACGCGUGGGUAACCUGCCUUGUACACACGGAUAACAUACCGAAAGGUAUGCUAAUACGAGAUAAUAUGCUUUUAUCGCAUGGUAGAAGUAUCAAAGCUUUUGCGGUACAGGAUGGACCCGCGUCUGAUUAGCUAGUUGGUAAGGUAACGGCUUACCAAGGCGACGACCAGUAGCCGACCUGAGAGGGUGAUCGGCCACAUUGGAACUGGGACACGGUCCAAACUCCUACGGGAGGCAGCAGUGGGGAAUAUUGCACAAUGGGCGAAAGCCUGAUGCAGCAACGCCGCGUGAGCGAUGAAGGCCUUCGGGUCGUAAAGCUCUGUCCUCAAGGAAGAUAAUGACGGUACUUGAGGAGGAAGCCCCGGCUAACUACGUGCCAGCCGCCGCAGUAA